GACGAACGCUGGCGGCGUGCCUAAUACAUGCAAGUCGAGCGCAGGAAACUGACGGAACUCUUCGGAGGGAAGGCAGUGGAAUGAGCGGCGGACGGGUGAGUAACACGUAAGGAACCUGCCUCAAGGAUUGGGAUAACUCCGAGAAAUCGGAGCUAAUACCGGAUAGUUCAACGGACCGCAUGGUCCGUUGAUGAAAGGCGCUCCGGCGUCACCUUGAGAUGGCCUUGCGGUGCAUUAGCUAGUUGGUGGGGUAACGGCCCACCAAGGCGACGAUGCAUAGCCGACCUGAGAGGGUGAUCGGCCACACUGGGACUGAGACACGGCCCAGACUCCUACGGGUGGCAGCAGUAGGGAAUCUUCCACAAUGGACGAAAGUCUGAUGGAGCAACGCCGCGCGAGUGAUGAAGGUUUUCGGAUCGUAAAACUCUGUUGUAAGGGAAGAACACGUACGAGAGGGAAUGCUCGUACCUUGACGGUACCUUACGAGAAAGCCACGGCUAACUACGUGCCAGCCGCCGCCGUAAUAC
rnacentral:rRNA from 1 species